GCUGGCGGCAGGCUUAACACAUGCAAGUCGAACGCACCUUUCGGGGUGAGUGGCAGACGGGUGAGUAACGCGUGGGAACGUGCCCUUCAGUUCGGAAUAACCCAGGGAAACUUGGGCUAAUACCGGAUACGUGCGAGAGCAGAAAGAUUUAUCGCUGAAGGAUCGGCCCGCGUCUGAUUAGCUAGUUGGUGGGGUAAUGGCCCACCAAGGCGACGAUCAGUAGCUGGUCUGAGAGGAUGAUCAGCCACAUUGGGACUGAGACACGGCCCAAACUCCUACGGGAGGCAGCAGUGGGGAAUAUUGGACAAUGGGCGCAAGCCUGAUCCAGCCAUGCCGCGUGAGUGAUGAAGGCCUUAGGGUUGUAAAGCUCUUUCGUCCGGGACGAUAAUGACGGUACCGGAAGAAGAAGCCCCGGCUAACUUCGUG
rnacentral:rRNA from 1 species